rnacentral:rRNA from 1 species
UGCGUAGGUGGUCCGUUAAGUCGGUUGUGAAAUCCCCGGGCUCAACCCGGGAACUGCUUCCGAUACUGGCGGACUUGAGGCCGGUAGAGGUCACUGGAACAGACGGUGGAGCGGUGAAAUGCGUAGAUAUCGUCUGGAACGCCGGUGGUGAAGACGGGUGACUGGGCCGGUUCUGACACUGAGGCACGAAAGCGUGGGGAGCGAACGGGAUUAGAUACCCCGGUAGUCCACGCCCUAAACGAUGCAGACUAGAUUGCAGCGGGUCUUACCCCGUUGCGGUCGUAAUAAAAACGUUAAGUCUGCCACCUGGGAAGUACGGUCGCAAGGCUAAA